rnacentral:rRNA from 1 species
GACGAGCUCCCCGAACGUUAUUCGGUAUUACUGGGCUUAAAGAGUUCGUAGGCGGUCUGACAGGUCAGGUGUGAAAUCCCUCGGCUCAACCGAGGAACUGCGCUUGAAACCGUUAGACUUGAGGGAGAUAGAGGUGAGCGGAACAGAUGGUGGAGCGGUGAAAUGCGUUGAUAUCAUCUGGAACACCGGUGGCGAAAGCGGCUCACUGGAUCUUUUCUGACGCUGAGGAACGAAAGCUAGGGUAGCGAACGGG